rnacentral:lncRNA from 1 species
CAGGUUCUGGAGCCUGGUUCAGAUCCUCACGAUGCCACUCCAGCCAUGUGACUUGGGCGAGUCAGUGACUCGAUCUGGGCCCCUGGUUCCUCAUAAGUAAGAUGGGAAUAAUAAUGGCCACAGCCUCAGAGAGUUCUUAAAACCUGAGUAGUAAAUUCGCCCUGCCCACCUCCCGGAAUGGCUGCCAGGAUCAAACGGGAUAUUGCCUAAGAAAGCACUCUGUAAACGAUGUGGUGGCAGGAGCUGGACCAGUCACCUUGAACUCCAGCACAUGUGUUGAAGAUGGCAGAGUGGCUUUACUUUCCUUAUUCUGGCAACCUCUGGACCAUUACUUGAGAGACAAUAAA